rnacentral:lncRNA from 1 species
UGAGAUCGAUGAAGAGGAAUUUCAAGGUAAAAUUAGUGCACUAGCUAUUGAGUAGUUUAUUAUGUCUAUAAAUAUAUUUGCAAUGUUUUCAAUUCAAUGCUUGCACGACAUUAGGGUUUUUCUUGGAGAGGCUAUUCAAGUUUUGCCUUAAUUACAUCGUACAAUAUAGAGCAUUUGGAAUGAAAUUUUCUUCGUGUGUAAUGGAGAUUCAUCACCAACUUUUGAAAUUAUUGAUCUACGCUAGAUUGCAUGCUUGAACAUUCAAGUAAAUAUGAUAAUUUUUCAUGUGGAGUGUUCGAAUAUUGAAUAUUAUAUCUUGGUCUAUCCUUAAAAGGUAAUUCUAUUCUAAUUUUUCCUUUUAAAACGACCUCAGCUGACUUGAUUGUAUUAGAAUUUAAUAUUAGAACAUUUUACCAAUUUGAGUUCUUAUUUUUUAAAUAGUAGGGUUUUCAUAUCACUUUGUGAAGAAGAUCAUGAGCGAUAUUGGAAACAAUACUUUUGUAGGCAAACUUAGUGUGAUGAUUAUUAUAGCUAUUGACAAUGCUCUAUAUGUGCGAAAGCUUUUCUUCAAAGCUAAGAUUUGUGGAUUUUGUUUUGUAUGACGAUUCAAUUUUCAAAAGAUGGUAUAGAGAAUAUACGUUGAGGCACAAGAGGAAGUGGAGGCUACAGUGUUACAAAGCCUUAUUCGGAUCGUCAAUUUUUAUUGGUAAGGAGUAUAUGAAGUAUGUUUGUGAUGAAAUUCUCCAAAAAAAGAGUUUGAGAACACAAUUGAAAGGUUGUUAACGCUCGAGAGAACAUGAGGAAACUGUAGUAUUUGGACAAUAAAAAACAUGUUGGAAAGACACAAGCUAAGGUGGUACUGUUUUGGUUUCAAAAUAUUUUUAAAAACCAAGACUUUAUGUUUUAAAAAUUCAAAAUUAGAGGAAAUUAUUAGUGAUUCAUGUUUUCGUCGGGCACUAUCUUAUUUCCAACUUGCGAAAGGAGUUUAUGUUACUGCUACGUACAUUGUUUAUUUAUUUGAUAGACGGUUGUGUAAAUCUACCUUGUAUCUACUUUGUAUCGUUGAGUUAGAACAUUAACCAAAGCAAAUGGUUAGAAAUAACAUCUCAUUACUUCCAAGGUGGAAGUUGUUCUCUUUAUGC